rnacentral:rRNA from 1 species
UACGUAGGCAGCAAGCGUUGUUCGGAAUUACUGGGCGUAAAGAGUGUGUAGGCGGUGCUCUAAGUCUGUCGUGAAAUCUCCCGGCUUAACUGGGAGGGUGCGGCGGAAACUGGAAUGCUAGAGGGUGGGAGAGGAAAGCGGAAUUCCUGGUGUAGCGGUGAAAUGCGUAGAUAUCAGGAGGAAUACCGAUGGCGAAGGCAGGUCUCUGGGCUGACACUGACGCUCUUGCACGAAAGCGUGGGGAGCAAACAGG